UACGAAAGGGGCUAGCGUUUUUCGGAAUUACUGGGCGUAAAGCGCACGUAGGCGGCCUUGUAAGUUGGGGGUGAAAUCCCGGAGCUCAACUCCGGAACUGCCUUCAAGACUGCAAAGCUCGAGGACGCGAGAGGUUAGCGGAAUUCCGAGUGUAGAGGUGAAAUUCGUAGAUAUUCGGAAGAACACCAGUGGCGAAGGCGGCUAACUGGCGCGUUUCUGACGCUGAGGUGCGAAAGCGUGGGGAGCAAACAGG
rnacentral:rRNA from 1 species